rnacentral:tRNA from 1 species
GGGCUCGUAGCUCGGCUGGUAGAGCAUGUGCGUACAAAGCGCAGGCGGUGUCCGUACGUGGGUUCGAAUCCCACUGAGGCUA